rnacentral:rRNA from 1 species
UACGUAUGGUGCAAGCGUUAUCCGGAUUUACUGGGUGUAAAGGGAGCGCAGGCGGCACGGCAAGCCUGAUGUGAAAGCCCGCGGCCCAACCGCGGGACUGCAUUGGGGACUACCGGGCUGGAGUGCCGGAGAGGUAGGCGGAAUUCCUAGUGUAGCGGUGAAAUGCGUAGAUAUUAGGAGGAACACCAGUGGCGAAGGCGGCCUACUGGACGGUGACUGACGCUGAGGCUCGAAAGCGUGGGGAGCAAACAGG